ACGACAUCUACAUGAUGUAGAGUUCUCUUCAAAAACAUGUCUUUCCAUUUGUUCUGCUUUUUGAGUUUCAGUUUAUAGUUUAUAAACUAUAGUUUAUAGUUUUCUCAAAUAGAUUUGGAUAUUUCCUCUAAUUAGAUAUUUCUUCUAAUCUGAUUUAAAACCAUGCUUUGGAUUAUUGCUAUUUUGAUAAGGCAGAAAAUACUUUUUAUUGAUUUUUCAAAUCAAUGGAAAAUCUGAGUUUGAGUCCUUACUUUGCUGCAAAUUGGCCACAAUACUCUAGACUAUCCACCAAUUAAUCUGUAAUCAAAUUUUCUCUUUUGGAACAAAGGGAGCAGAUCUUGUUUGAGAACUCAGAUUGUGGGAUGAGAGGAACUAUAAAAUGCAAGCUAGUGGGAAGGUAUUCUUCAUCUCAUCAUUGUUAGUUUAAAUAUUUUAUGAACAGUUUCUUCUCAACAUUUUACUCUCUCAAAGCACAUAAUAUUUUUCAAUUCCUUCCUCAUAUUAUAUUGCAUGACAAAAGUUCCCCACAGUACUGAAUGUUCUGAAAACUUGCUAUAAAAUAAUAUUAUAUAUAAUAGAAAUACUGAGCUCACAUAUUCUUAAUUACAUAAAUCAAAUGUAUAUACAACAUAAACCUAGCCUAAUUUUGUUUGUACAAAUUGGGGUAAAUUAAAUCCUAUAGGAAUUAACCACAGAUUACAAGGCUUAUAAAUGGAUGUUCCUGUGAAAUAGAAUCACUUUCUGGAACAGGUUUUUAAAUGAUCAAUGCAAGUGCAAUUAUUGUUGGCAAAUAGUUGUGGUGUAACCUAAAUCCAGGGCAUUAAGCAGUAAUACUUCACUUGUUUUUUUCCCUUCAAAUAAAAUGUUUCCUCUUCAGACUGUUUCCUUGUUUUGCUAAAGUGGUAGAUAUGCUUUAAAACAGAAACAGUGGUUCCAUUUUGUCGCUAUUCCACUUUUAAUUGACAGUUUUUACAAAUAGCUUUUUUAAUUAAAAAGAAAAGGUUGUGAUAAGAUUUUACUCUCCCUACACUGUCAGAGACAAGUGGCAUAAGGGCAACAUAGUUGUGGUUAUAAGAGUGGAUCCUGGAGUCAGUCUGCUAGGGUCAAAUCCUGGGUCAACUGGUCUCUGGCUCUGUGACAUGGACAAAUCAAUUAACCAAUUAAUCAUUAAUUAGCUUGACCUAAUAGUGUUGACAUGAAGAUUAAAAGAGAUAACAUUUUAAAUGCUUUGAGAAAUGUCUGACCAGCAGUGAGCUAUGUAACUCUUUGAUAAAUUAUAAAUAAAAAGAAUGUACUCCACUUUCCAGUAUUUGUCAACAUCUUGUUUCAGAUGAAGCUGAGUCAAAAUUAACAUCAAAGAUGCCUUCAGGUAGGAGUAGGGACAAAGAAAGAAAGCUCAAGCCAGGAAAGGCAUGACUCCACUCCGUUUGCCAUGGUAAUAAUGGUGGAGGGAUUCACAGGCUGAUUGCUUUCAUAUGAAUCCUGUGUCUCUCCACCAUCUGGUAAACCUACCUUCUUCCAUCCGCUGGGAAAUUUCUUUGGGUCUGCCCAGUAUAAGAAAUAGGAUCCCACAAAGCUUGUGUGGAGGCAAUCAGCUAAAUUUGCUGCCUCUGAAGGAAAACGCUGGGAACAGAAACAACAGUAAAAUCAUGACGAGUCAGCAUAUAGACUGUUAAACAGUUAGAGCUAACUUUGUCUACUCAUAUUCUUAAUAGAAUCCUCAACCACCUCCCAUUUCAUAGAAUGCUUGUGCCAUACUAGUUAACUAGCUGUUUUCACUGAAGCUCAAAUCCAUAUAUAAACUCUGAAUAUUUGUAAAUAGGAGAUAAUGGGGGUGUCUGGCUUUUGAAUUAUAUUGGACUCAAAAAUGAGAAACAUUAUAACUCAGCAUCCAUUUUCCAUUAUCCCUUUUCAUAUAAGUCCCCAAAGUGGAACAGAACACUCCUCACAUGUAGAGAUCGUUUUCUCUCCAGUGCUGUCAUUGUUCACCACUAACAACUCUGCAGUUCAUGCUCAGGGAGACCACAAAGAGUGAAAUUAAAUGGAAACUCAGGCAAACUGUGUGCAAUAGUACAAAUGACAUAAUGAAUCCUUAGGGCCAUUACAUAAUUGCCUACUUUCAUAGAAAAUUUUAGCUGUUCAGGCUUCUGGAGAAGAUUUAGUAACAUAAAGUACUAAUGUAAGAUGAAGUGUAUGCUGGAGUCAAUCCAGGCAAAAUUCCUCCAGGGUUUGGACAUACUGUGGAGGACAAGACAAGGAGCUUACAUUCCAGGAGAAGAGAAGAAAUAAUUGUAGAAUUACAUAUCAUAAUGUCAGGAAGUGAUCAAGCAUUUGAAGAGAAAAACAGCAAGUCCAUUGGCUACUGUGUGAAGAAUAGAAUGUAGAAGGGCAAGAGUGGAAGCAGAGAAACCGGCUGGGAGCUACUGCACAGUUCAUGUGGUGAUGAGGGGAGAGACAAAAGAAUAGAAAGUGCGUAUGUAUAAUCCCUCUUUGGGUUCUAUUUGGAGUAGGACUUGUGUUCUCUUAGCUAAACAGAUUAAGCUUUUAUGUAUAUCUUGUGCUUUACUUCUAAUUGGUUAGAACUGUUUUAAGUGGGAAAAGACUGGAAAUGAAAUGAAUCCCCAUCAAUAGAGAAAUGGUUGAUUAAAUUCUGGCAAAUACUCACCAUGAACUAUUUAACAACUAUUAAAGAUAAUGAGCUAAAUUAA